rnacentral:rRNA from 1 species
AACGAACGCUGGCGGCAUGCCUAACACAUGCAAGUCGAACGAGACCUUCGGGUCUAGUUGCGCACGGGUGCGUAACGCGUGGGAACCUGCCCUUAGGUUCGGAAUAACUCCCCGAAAGGGGUGCUAAUACCGGAUAAUGUCUUCGGACCAAAGAUUUAUCGCCUUUGGAUGGGCCCGCGUUGGUUUAGCUAGUUGGUAGUGUAAAAGCCUACCAAGGCGACGAUCCAUAGCUGGUCUGAGAGGAUGAUCAGCCACACUGGGACUGAGACACGGCCCAGACUCCUACGGGAGGCAGGAGUGGGGAAUAUUGGACAAUGGGCGAAAGCCUGAUCCAGCAAUGCCGCGUGAGUGAUGAAGGCCUUAGGGUUGUAAAGCUCUUUUACCCGGGAUGAUAAUGACAGUACCGGGAGAAUAAGCUCCGGCUAACUCCGUG